rnacentral:lncRNA from 1 species
GAGGGAGAGAGAGACAGAGAGACAGAGACAGAGACAGAGAUUAGGAUUGUGCCACUACACUUCUGUUGACCACAACUUCUUCGUUAAAAUUCCGAUUUGAGCCCACUACGUGUCUACGAACUCGUGAGAGCGAGCUCUAUGCAAUGGUGAUACUCAAAUCCCCAAAAUCCUUUUGGAUCAAAAAGUGACUAAAAUGACCCUACCUCCAAGGACAAAAUUGUAAAUUCACAAAUAGAAAUAAAUUGAAUAGAAUGAUUAAAUUGGGUCGAGGUGUAUAGAAAGACUAGAAGGUAAAAUGGCUGCAAAGAAAUUGGCAAGACAGGGAAAGUGUAAAAAUAUAAUGGAUGACAAUGUAGAGUCUGCAAUAGAUGUUCAAAUGGAAAUCCAAGAAUUAAGAAAGCAAAAACAAGAACAUGUGCGUAGACAAGAUGAUCAAUUCCAAUUGAUGUAUGCUGCAAAGCAAGAGCAACUUACUAUUAGGUGUAAAGAAGUUCCAAUUCAAUGUCGACGUGAGGUUUCUAGAAUAAUG